ACAAUGGGCGCAAGCCUGAUGCAGCGACGCCGCGUGAGGGAUGACGGCCUUCGGGUUGUAAACCUCUUUCAGUAGGGAAGAAGCGAAAGUGACGGUACCUGCAGAAGAAGCGCCGGCUAACUACGUGCCAGCAGCCGCGGUAAUACGUAGGGCGCAAGCGUUAUCCGGAAUUAUUGGGCGUAAAGAGCUCGUAGGCGGUUUGUCGCGUCUGCUGUGAAAGACCGGGGCUCAACUCCGGUUCUGCAGUGGGUACGGGCAGACUAGAGUGCAGUAGGGGAGACUGGAAUUCCUGGUGUAGCGGUGAAAUGCGCAGAUAUCAGGAGGAACACCGAUGGCGAAGGCAGGUCUCUGGGCUGUAACUGACGCUGAGGAGCGAAAGCAUGGGGAGCGAACAGGAUUAGAUACCCUGGUAGUCCAUGCCGUAAACGUUGGGCACUAGGUGUGGGGGACAUUCCACGUUUUCCGCGCCGUAGCUAACGCAUUAAGUGCCCCGCCUGG
rnacentral:rRNA from 1 species